rnacentral:rRNA from 1 species
CGAAAGCCUGACGGAGCAACGCCGCGUGAGGGAUGAAGGCCUCUGGGCUGUAAACCUCUUUUCUCAAGGAAGAAGACAUGACGGUACUUGAGGAAUAAGCCACGGCUAAUUCCGUGCCAGCAGCCGCGGUAAUACGGGAGUGGCAAGCGUUAUCCGGAAUUAUUGGGCGUAAAGCGUCCGCAGGCGGCCUUGUAAGUCUGUCGUUAAAGCGUGGAGCUUAACUCCAUUUCAGCGAUGGAAACUACAAGGCUUGAGUGUGGUAGGGGCAGAGGGAAUUCCCGGUGUAGCGGUGAAAUGCGUAGAUAUCGGGAAGAACACCAGUGGCGAAGGCGCUCUGCUGGGCCAUAACUGACGCCCAUGGACGAAAGCCAGGGGAGCG